rnacentral:rRNA from 1 species
AUUGAACGCUGGCGGAAUGCUUUACACAUGCAAGUCGAGCGGCAGCACGGGGGCAACCCUGGUGGCGAGCGGCGAACGGGUGAGUAACACAUCGGAACAUGCCCAGUUGUGGGGGAUAACACUUCGAAAGAAGUGCUAAUACCGCAUACGUCCUGAGGGAGAAAGCGGGGGAUCGCAAGACCUCGCGCGAUUGGAGUGGCCGAUGUCAGAUUAGCUAGUUGGUGGGGUAAAGGCCUACCAAGGCAACGAUCUGUAGCUGGUCUGAGAGGAUGAUCAGCCACACUGGGACUGAGACACGGCCCAGACUCCUACGGGAGGCAGCAGUGGGGAAUUUUGGACAAUGGGGGCAACCCUGAUCCAGCCAUUCCGCGUGAGUGAAGAAGGCCUUCGGGUUGUAAAGCUCUUUCGGCAGGAACGAAACGGUGAGCUCUAACAUAGCUUGCUAAUGACGGUACCUGAAGAAGAAGCACCGGCUAACUACGUG